CUGUAUUCAACGUCCUUCCUAUAGUUCCUGGGAGUGGACCAAUCCCAACCUCUUCUAGUAGCGCCCCCUCAAUGGCUCCAAUUCCUGCCUAUCAAACAAAUCCUACAUGAUCAAAUAGUGGAGGCUUCGAUAGUUUUAAUGCCAAUUCUAAAGCUCCUGAUGCUAGUCAUUAGUUUUGCUCAGGUGCAUAUUUGACCUCUCGUAUUUACUAGUAUUUCAUUUUUCA